rnacentral:lncRNA from 1 species
ACAUGUGAAAUGUCCGUAAAGCAUCAUCACAUGAUUGGUUUUAGGGCACAUUUCCAACAACGACAUGGCCUAGUCCAUGUAUGCCGUGGGUUACACUAGAAUCUGCCCCCUUGGUUGUGAGUUUCAUUCCUCGUGUAAUGACUUUUUCAAGUGCAUCGUCAUUCAAAUCUUCAAGAUAUCCCUGCGCCAAAGAGUCAAUUAUAUCAAUAGAGAAACAUGAAUGGUCCUCACUAGGGUACUUAAUGGAAUCAGAGAGAUUAAAAUUAACAACUUCCCCAUCAAAUUCCAUGGAUAAUGUUCCACUAUACACGUCAAUCUUCGUUCGGGCUGUCUUCAUGAAUGGCCUUCCAAGGAGGAUGGGCAAUGAAGAAGCAUGAUCCGAUUCAUCCAUUUCGAGCACAUAAAAAUCUACUGGGAAGACUAAAUGAUCAACCUCACCAAAACGUCUUCCAACACUCCAUUUGGAUAAGCGUUAGAUCUAUCGGCCAAUUGUAUGAUUACACCAUCAUGUUUCAACUCACCUAAGUUCAUAGAUACAUAAAUGGAGUAUGGCAUAACAUUUAUAGAGGCUCCUAAAUCUAGCAUGGCAGAUUUGAAACGAGUGUUACCAAUGACACACGGAAUUGUAAAGGUACCCGGAUCUUUGCAUUUGGGGGGUAGUUUACAUUGCAAGAUGGCGGAGACAUUUUCACCUACCUUCACAACCUCCUUGGUUGAAAUCCUCUUCCUAGUGGUGC